AAAUCAAUAGGACGAACAUUAUUACAUUCACAUUUCAUGCUAGGUCAUUCACAAAUGUAACGCUAGAGACGAAAAUAAACAAAGCGUACGUCAUCGCUGUUUAUUAUUUUCACGGAAGAAAAAUAUCGUCAGAUCCUAAAAAAAGUAUCUUGUAUCCAAUACUUUAUUUGAGACGGUGCAGAUUCUAAACUUGAGGCGCAUCGAGACUCGAGAUGCUAAACCUAAUCAAAAUGUGUGCUUCCGACUACCAACAACGACUGAAAAUCGGCAUCGAAUUUUUAUAUGAAGAUACCAAGAAUACAGCGAUGGAGGAUCAAGAACUAUCUUUAUGUAUGUAGUGCGUGUCAGAUUUAGACAACCAAGUAUUGUCGGCGGAAAUGUUAGUCGUGUCGUUCCAAGAAAAACAUCCAUGCUCGCGUGCCAACACUUUCGCUAAGUAAGAUCACACCGAUCCACAAAUGAGAUAAAAAUGAACGUAACUGGAAGAGGUAGAGAAGGAUGAUAAUUCGAUAAAUUGGAUGAUAGCCGGAUAAUAGUGUAAUAACGUUGCACAAAACCAUAGAUCAUUAGCUACCUGUGACAUUUUAAAUGAUCAAUAAAAAAAUAUGUAGACGGUGGUUUUAUUGUUAUUGAGAAUAGUCUGCCAAUAUGUAUUAAGCCCUGAAACAAUGAAAGGAGAUGGUGA